rnacentral:rRNA from 1 species
CCGGUGAGUAACCUGCCUUGGAGUGGGGAAUAACACAGUGAAAAACUAGUGCUAAUACCGCAUAAUGCAUUUGGGUCGCAUGAUUCUGAAUGCCAAAGAUUUAUCGCUCUGAGAUGGACUCGCGUCUGAUUAGCUAGUUGGCGGGGUAACGGCCCACCAAGGCGACGAUCAGUAGCCGGACUGAGAGGUUGGCCGGCCACAUUGGGACUGAGACACGGCCCAG